rnacentral:misc_RNA from 1 species
AACAAAACUGUUGUCCAUUAGCAUCACACUUGUAUACUAGCACCACUGCAAACUAUUCUAUUACAUGAUCUGGAGUUGCUAGUUACUACUUGAAUGACUCACUAAAUGCAAUUUUAAGCAUUCCAAGUAGAAAGCUCUACUCUGGGGUCUGCCCGAACUUCUCACAUCAUCUUCUCAACCAACACGAAUGCAACUACAGAUACUCAUCUCAUUACCCUACUCAGUACUCGCAUAUAAG